GAGUUGAAACCAAAUGAUCUUAAGGGUCCCUUCAAACCCAUAACAUUCAAUGAUUCUAUGACUAAGCCUCAGCAAGUUCCCAGAUUGUCAGUCCAACACUUUAAUAUACUUUUUGUUCAAUAUUUUUAAAGUUGCAUGAGAAAAAUAGAACUGUAAAGUCUCAUUUACAGGGAGGAAUGUGAAUUUUGAAUUUCUGAGACAACAUGGACUGAACUUAAUUGAGACAGAAAAAGGAAAAAAAAGAUUGAGAGGAGUGUUACCACGUAGUUCUACAUAUAGUGGAGUAAUAGAACAUAAGUCAAUUCUAGUACAUUGUCUAGCGGUCUUGUUCAAUCCCUCAUUUAUUUCAGUCUUGAAUCCCUAAAUAUCAUCUGUCCUGUGGGAGAACUAUUACAGGCACUCGUUUAUAGUAGUGACACCUGUUUCACAGAGGUAUCAAGCUCCCAACAGCACCAGACAUUUACAGCUUUGGAACUGGAGGUUGUCUCAUUGCACUUUAUCACAGACCAUGUGAGAUUCUGUGUAUCCAUUCUCUUUGGGAGCAUCUCUCCAGUGUCAGAGCAGGAGCUCACUCUGCUCUUCCUUGCAGUUUAGAUGCUAGACACCUUAUCUUGCAGAACCCUUCCUCCCACCUUUUCUGGGCUCAUAACAGUCUCACAACAUCAUGAAGAGGAAAGAACGCACUCUGCUUUUUGGAAGAAGUUGCAUAAACGUGUGACAAAACUCCACAUUGGGAGCAUUCUAAAGAAAAAAAAAAAAAAGACAUUUAAAAAGAAAAGACACAGAUAGGUUCAACCUUGAUAUUGGUUCUAGCUGCUCCUAUCAGAACAGUUCUGGGCAUCGAGAAAUGCUGCUGAAUAUCUGUACGUGUCACUUUGAGCACCACUUCCAACUUUUUUAGCAGCAAAAUUUUUCAAAAUUUUCAAAAUUUUUCUUCCCAAGUCACUGUGAAGAAACAAAGCAAAAUCAGCUGGGACACCAGUGACACUGGGGGAGGCAACAUGGCAGAAUUUACUUCUCCAUUAAAGCAGCUGCUGCUUUGAUGAUAUUCCAGUGUGCUGUGCUCUCACAGAGCUGCAAGGGAGCAAUGGCUGAAGCCAGUUGCAACAAGAGAAGUCCAUGUUACACUGACAUCAGAAGUCCAAUACAAAAUCUACAUUGCUACCCCCACAGAAGAGCAGUUCACACUAGGAAUCAUCUCUAGAGACAUACAUAUGGUAGACACAGUUUUGGGAGAGGUGCCCUGGGCUUAACACCAGUACGACAGAGAACAGAAGAUGGCCUACCAUCAACCCCUCCUACAUGAACAAAAUACUUAUGACCUGAGAGGAAAUUGCUACUGAGCCUAGCCCAUAGAGAAAUCCCUGCACCACCCAGUUGGAUGUAAUAGCUCAAAGAAGCCACUGCAGCCUCUUGGAGUAGUUUUCUUGUAAACAGACAGCUGUAAAUAAUAGAAGAAAAAUAACUAAAUUCUAUAAUUUAAAACAAGUUUGUGAGCUGAAUCUAAGUGGCAGUAUUUCUAUCAAGCUGAUAUCUAAUUUCGUUAGAGGUGAUUUAGGUAUGAUGCACUGUUUUAACAAAAAUGAUUUGGGGUCUGCAAGUGCCAGUAUAAUGUCUGUAAGUGGCAGUAUGUGUCUGUAUUUGCCAGUACAGGCAAAGUCUUGAAUAGAGGUGACCUCACUGUGCAGUGGUACAAUUUGUGUGCAACUGCUUUCAAGACAAGUGACUCCAGUCAGUUUGCACAACAAAACAGUUCAAAAAGUAAGCCACAUGAAAUUAAAUCCACUUUUAAUUGGUUAUGCUUCCAGGUAAGUGCUAUUUAUGUAUACUUGACAAGAGAUGUGGAACAAGUUUCAGAUAAUCGAAAUCGCUUUGCUGAAAGAAACUCUGCCAAGCACGUAUUAGUUCACUGGAUGCUCGUCACAGUUUAAUAUCCUGAAACUGUGAUCCUAGAUAGGCUCCCAGGGAAAGCUACAGGACAACUAAUUGCAGUAACUCUUCCAUGCAUUUCCUUUCAUGCUUUGGAAUAUUUUGAAAACUUCACUUGAAAAUGAAAUAAUAAACAUUUUACAAUUUCACUCUCUUUAGAUACAUGGACUUGUUCAAAAUCAACCACUUGAUCUUUCACCAGAACAAAUCAACCACUCCAGAUCUUUCACCAGAACUCCAGUUCAUAAACAGAAUAACAACAGCCUUUCAGUUUUGUCCUUCUAGUGCCUUUUUUCAAUCACAGAUCAAAAUUUAACUACUGAAAGGCUUGCUGUUUCGCUUCAAGAGUGGAAAAGGACAAAAGCAAUGUUCCCUGGCCUUUCUUCCCAAGGAGCCAGAGAGAUGAAAUUUAAAAAAAGUCUCUUAACUUCUCCAAAGAACUGUUUCAUAAAAAAGCAGAUAUGUAAAGUAGAACGCAUAUCUACAAGGUUGUUCAGACUGAAUGAGCAGUGACUGACUGCUUUUGUUCCCCUCUUUCUUGAAAAGCAGCGAUAAAUGCUGUUUGUGGGCUGAUGGAAUUCUCCAGCCCCAGUAACACACUGAAGAGGACUGUGAGGCCUCCAGAGUUAUGCUAUUAGGCAUAGCUGUACAAAUGCUCACCUCAAAUAGAGGGUGGCUCAACACCACCCCCUCACUGUCAUUCCUUCCCAUUAGUUUAUUUCCUCAGUAAGCUGUAUGUGUUUUCUAGCAAAAGGGAAAGUGCUGGGUGACAGAUUAUCAUGAUAAAUUUCUGUAUCUAAUGAGAUAUUGAUGUGAUUUUCACCAUGAUUUGCUAAAGGAAACUGAGUAUAUUCACCUACUUCUGAAGAAUGUAAAAAAUGCAAGGAGAUAAGUGGGUUUUUUCAACCUGAAUAUUUAGCAGUGACCUCCUUUGACUGCAUGCUGCAAUUAUAUUUCUGUUGUCUCAUUAAUCUCGUAAUUGUCCUCUUCAAUAGCCACUACACUUACCAUAGCCAUCCAGUUUGAAAAAAGAUCACUCAGUGUCAAUGCAGCUUCCAGUGUAUGAAUUUUUACCAGCAAUAAAUGUAAUAUCAAGGGAAAAUAAACUAGAGAUGCGAGCAUCUCAUACCAGUCACAAAAUAAACAUCCUCCCGCGUGUUCAGUGGUGAGUCAGUGGAUCCUAGAUGGACGGAAACCAUAUUAGAAAAGAUUUGUGAUCUAUGUUGAGUGAAAACUCGUCCCAUCUUCAUAACCCUACUACUUCUCAAGUGACAAGGGAAACACAGCGGACUUAUCAGCUCUUUGUCAGCUCCAGUACACCCACUGGAGAGUUGUAUUCACUAACAAAAUGAAGUAAUAGAAAGCAAAAGACCAUUUUGAAAGAUUCUCCAACAGUCCACCACAAAGAGAUGUUCACUGCUAUGGCAACAGCAGCAGCAAUACCUUUGAGCAGGGGCUUCUGGUGGCUGCUUUGCCUUGGUGAUACCAUAAGAGGAAAAUAAGAAUUUCACUCCUUUAUUGGUGAGCGAGAGGGAUGGGAAUGUAACAAAUGACACUUGACAUAAGGCACUUGAUUAAGAAUUGAUUUUUUUAACGAGAUAUUCAAUUUUCUUUUAAAAACCAAACCAAAACAUUUGGCCAUCAAAGAAAAGCUAUAUAAAUAAGCUUUAAUAUCAUACCAAAAUACUUUUCCACAUCAGUUAAUAUAGUUAAUAAGGUAUUCGUGGAUUUUGUUAAUAUACAUACAAUAUAUGGCUUUAUUUCACAAAAACAACAACAACAACAAACACUAAAGCAUUGCUAACAGCAACAAUUAGUCACUUUAAACAGAUGCUGACAGUGAACAUGAGAUUAUUUGCCUCCUUUCUACUCAUCCAUUAAGAUAUCAUUGUAAUGAUUUGUUUAGAAGCCAUUUUUUGUCCUGCUUAUUUGAUACUUUGGGAUUUUGAAUCAGAUUCUGUGAAUUCUUUUGCCUAUGAAAUAUCCUGAAGCUAAUUCUUCACCCUUUUUAUCCUGGCAGCACUGGAAGGUUUCUGUCCAAUGCACAGGUCAAGUUGCAGUGAUGCUGAAUUCACAAGUUGAACAACUAGAGUAAUAGGGACAGAGAGUUUUCGCAAAUGCAGAAGCAAUCAAAGCACAGAAAGCAAAGCUUUGUGUUGUAACCUUCACCCAUUCGUUUUCCCUGGGACACCGCAGCUUGGCCGAUUACCGAGGCGACACCAAUAUGGUGAACAGCAAAAUGGCGCUUUAAUGGAACGAACGUGUGCUUAUAUAUGGAGGGGAGGUCCUAACGCGUUACAACCCGAAGAUGGCGCAAGCGCCUAAUACAACAGCUUUGCUAUGGGCUUCUACAAUCAACAGAUGCACAAAGCUGGAAGGACAGAACCUGCCUGUACAAAUCUAUCCUACGCUGACCUAAGCAGAAGCAUUAGAGGUCAUAUAAAUGUUCCUUGUCUUAGUUACUUAAUCUGGUUUCUAUAAUCUGAAGACACAAUGAAGAUACUUGAAGUUGAACUGGAAAAGCAGUACAUACAAGAUUUAUUGUUCCCGAUGGAAUCUUAGUCCUGCUGCCUUUUAUAUCCAUUCUGAUAUCACUGGAUCAACCUGAAGUCCUAUGGAUAAAAGAAGGAAUUAUUUUAGAUUUUCCUGAGGUUCAGCCUUCAUCACAAUAUAAGAUAUCCAGUUGCAUCUCCACCAUCCCUGCAACUCUCUUCCUCCUCUCAAGUUUACUGGAUUUCUUGUUAUUUAUUGACUUCCAACUUCCAAGGUCUGGGUAAGAUACCUUUGUGGUUAAGCUCCUGUACUGAUCUCUCUCUUUUUUUGCUAUUAUUCUUUUUUAUUUUUUAAUUCUGUAAAUUAAUGCCAGUUAGUGAUUGCUACUUGGGUCACUAUCAUCUAAUGCUCUCUCAUCCCAAGUGUAUUACGAGAAUGAAAAACUAUUUGUGGUUGAACUGUACUAACUCUGUCUUCCUUUGCUGCACUUACCUGAAGUGCUUUAAAAGGACUCAAUGAAGGACAGGGAAGUAUUUUCAAAUUAUAGCUCUGAGUGAUGACCAGAGAAUAAGAAACCUCCGACCUGAAAUUAGAGGAGCUCUUGACACUGGCUACAAUUCUGAAUAGUAGUUCAAAGCCAAAGAAGAAACAAUAAUAUUAUGUCAUUCACUGGGGAAAAAAAAAAAAUCCACUGUUAGAUUUUUAGCAAAUAAAGAAGUAUAUAUGAUUACAGAGAGGAAAAAAAAGAAUUUUUGGAACUGUGUCUAAGUUUGAAUAAAAUGCUUUUAUGUGUUUACAAAAUUAUUUUAAAGGAUGAUUGUUGAUCUGCUGAAGCCUUCUUGAUUCUCCAUUUUUCUCAGUUUGAAUUACAAAAACAGUAACUGUAUAUUCUGAACCCAGAAGAGAAAAUCUAGAAGAAUAUUCUGAAUUUUUCUAACCAUCUGUUGAAAAAUGUCAUGAGCACUUGUUUAUCUGCACUUCUGUAAGUUCUCAACAUUGAUUGUAUUUUAUUUUCUGUAUCUAAUUACUCUUCAGAGUGAUAUGUUUAUACUACUGGAAAACUUCUAUUUUAGAGUGGAAUUAUGCAUACAGUAUUCAUAUGGAUCUGAUCAGAACUGAAUAAUGCAGAUAUUUUUAUAGGUACAUCUUUUGAUAGUAAAAAAGUGUCAUAAUAUAUUUAAAAACCCACCACCUUUCAAGUAAUAAUGAUAGCAUCUUUUGUGAGCUGGAAGUUCAAUAUGAAUAUUCAUUAAAAAUAAUGAUGAUAUCCUGA